rnacentral:rRNA from 1 species
GACGAACGCUGGCGGCGUGCCUAAUACAUGCAAGUUGAGCGAUGAAGAUUGGUGCUUGCACCAAUUUGAAGAGCAGCGAACGGGUGAGUAACGCGUGGGGAAUCUGCCUUUGAGCGGGGGACAACAUUUGGAAACGAAUGCUAAUACCGCAUAAUAACUUUAAACAUAAGUUUUAAGUUUGAAAGAUGCAAUUGCCUCACUCAAAGAUGAUCCCGCGUUGUAUUAGCUAGUUGGUGAGGUAAAGGCUCACCAAGGCGAUGAUACAUAGCCGACCUGAGAGGGUGAUCUGCCACAUUGGGACUGAGACACGGCCCAAACUCCUACGGGAGGCAGCAGGAGGGAAUCUUCGGCAAUGGACGAAAGUCUGACCGAGCAACGCCGCGAGAGUGAAGAAGGUUUUCGGAUCGUAAAACUCUGUUGGUAGAGAAGAACGUUGGUGAGAGUGGAAAGCUCAUCAAGUGACGGUAACUACCCAGAAAGGGACGGCUAACUACGUG